AAGAGGAUUUCUUGGGAAAUGUUUUGGUGCUGGGGUUCAUAUUUUUGUUGCUGUUUUUUUAAAGGUAAAAGAAAUUCUGCUCCUCCCCUUAGCUCUUUUCACUCUACCUGACUCCAUGAUAAGACAGUCUUGUCAGGAAUUCUUCAGACUUAGGGUGUGUGUGUGUGUGUACUGUGUUUGUCUCUCUGUGUGUGUCUCUGUAUGUAUGCAUGCAUGCAUGCAUGCCUGUGUGUCUGUGACUGUGUGAGUUUGUAUAUGUCUAUGUAUAUCUCUCUGUGUGUGUCUCUGUGGACCCUUUAGAAUUUAAUGCGAAUACACUAGCAGGAGCUAGUACAUACAAAGCGUGGGCUUUCCAAAGGCAGGGCUUCCAUGAAUAGUACCUGCCUCUGUCUCCUCUGUAUCUCAUGCCUUUUCCCCACCCUUACUUUAGUAAGACAGGAAGGGAAGGGGCAAGAGAGCAAAAGAAGGUGGUGGAUCAUGCUAUGACUAAUCAAGAAUAAUAUAUCCCAGAAAGAAAGAGAGGUGGGAUGGAGUACAAAGAAAGAUGUCUGUGCUGCUGAGGAUGUGACUAGUCAGGACCAAAUUGAUGCAGAUAUAAAGGCAAAGAUACAUAAAAGUAGACGUCAUCUCACUCCCCCUCACCAACAGACUUCGCUAAUGUUUGGGGGUGGGGUGGGGUGGACUACAAUGGCAGAGAAGUAGACUGCAGUAAGAAGAAAAACCAUUUUGCAGCCUGCUUGCUUUAGUCCAGUAUUUUUCCAUUUCUCUCUUCUCAUGACCAGAAGUCUAGACAGGAAGCAGAGGUCGGUUACCAAGGAAACUGAAGCUGAGUGUGCUUGAUUGGUUACCUUUGAGAUAAAAACAAAAUUGCUAUUCAAAAUGUAAGCUCUUGUGGAGGAUGGGCAAAUACUAAGCAUAUAGACGUCUAUUAAUCCUUAUAAUUAUUUUGUAGGGAAGCAUGCACAAACACUUGCGCGUGCGCGCGUGUGCACACACACACACAAAACAUUUUCCUACAGGGUUAAUUGGGAGUUGCUCUUCAGAAAGACCUUGAAUUCUGCCUCUGGUCCCUUCUAUUCUUUCUGCCAGCCCCAUACUCUUAGUGUCUAAUUGUACCCCAUGUCUGAGUCUGAUGAAAUCCUGACAAGACUGUCUUCAUGAAGUUAUCUGGGGUGGGGGUGGGGGUUGAGCUUAGGGUGGGAACAGAAUUUCUUUUAGCUUAAAAAAAAAAAACCCAACAAAGAUAUGAACCAGACAUUUCCCAAGAAAUCCUCUUAAAAUGAGAAAAAUAUAGCCAAACUAUUGAUUAUUCAGAUGUCUAAUUAAGAGGUAUUAAUAUUUGGUCAUCUAGCAGACUGCAGUGCAAAUGUAAUUGAAAUGCUUACUUUGCCAUUCCUUAUACGUUGCUGCCCCUAGUGUAAUAAAUAGUAACUGCAUCUUCUGGACUGCUGAAGGCCAUUAAAGUCCUCCCAUCCUCCAUUUGAAUGUUAUAUACAGAACUUUAGACGUGUAUCUAUAUUUUUCAACACAGUUGAAUAUAUCUGCUAAUGUUUUUUAUUACAAAAGACGAAAAGAGGUGGUCAGACAGGGCCUUCUGAUUCUUCUGAUGCGGAAAUGAUCUGUGGCAACUACUUUCUGAUAUGUUUGUCUGAGAAUCAGUGUUCACUUUUGACAAACACACCCUUUUUAUACUCUGAAAUAACUUCAGAAGAUCCAUGCUGAUGUCACAUGUGUCCUAAUAAUGAGAUUUCCAGGGAAUUUGAAAGUUAAUGUGAAACCACUUUAAAGUUUUAUGCAAACAAGGUGUAUUCAUAUCUGUCUACAGUGUCUUCUAAGAUUAAGACUUGGCCGUAGACUUGAGUAGGGGUGUGUGUGUGUGUGUGUGUGUGUGUGUGUGUCUGUCUGUCUGUCUGUCUAUGUGUCUGUCUGUGUGUCUCUGUAAGCAUAUUCCAGGAAGUUGAGCUUACAGUGAUAAGAAUGCAUAAUGGGUUGGGGAUUAAACCUAGCCUCCUCACAUGCCUUAACUGUCCUAAAAUUAGCUCUGUAGACAAAGCUGGCUUCAAACUCCCAGAAAUUAUCUGCCUCUGCCUCCUGGGUGCUAGGACUGAAGGUGUGCACCACCAUUGCUUGACUCAACCUGUUUGUUUGUUUGUUUGUUGUUUGUUUGUUUGUUUUGAACACAAAUCAGGACCCAGGAUUGGCACCAGACAUAGUGGGCUGGGCUGUCUUGAAUCAAUCAUUAAUUCAAGAAAAUGCCCUACAGGCUUGCCAAUAUGCCAGUCUGUUGGAGGUAUUGUCUCAAUAGAGGUUUCCUCUAAAAUGACUCUAGCUUGUAUCAAGUCUAUCAAAAACAAACAAACAAACAAACAAACAAACUAACUAACUAACCAGGAUAAUAAGGAUGGGGGACCCAAAGAGACCCCCCAGGACAGGAAGCAAGGUUUUAUUAAUACAAAGGCUAGAGGCGGAAGGUUUUCUUCCCUUGUUCCCUUCAGCAUUUGGUAUGGGGAUCAGUGUAAGCCAUCAGUGAUUUACGAAUAAGCAAGAAACCCCACAGCCAAUGUAUGAGGACACAGAAGCUUUUCUUUUCCUUCUUAUUUGUAAGCAGCUGUCGCUCAGCUGAGCUGACCCGCAUGCCUGUUCAGGAGGUGCAAUAAAGGCAGAGCUGAGAGAAACAGCAUAGGUUCUUGAGGUUCAGGUAUGUCCUAAUGGGAAUUAUUAAUAAGCAAAAGGAAGAUAUAUUUUCUUUCAUGUAAAGCUUGCUUAACAAUUCUAUAUAAAUAUGGGCUAAAAUAGAGCAUGGUUGUUGAAAUGAGUCUUGAAAUACUUGCUUUUGUUUAUUUAUUUAUCUUGGGUUUUUUUUUGUUUGUUUGUUUGUUUUUGAGACAGGGUUUCUUCAUGUACCCUUGCCUAUGUGGGUACUCACUCUGUAGACCACGAACUCCCAGAGAUCCACCUCCCUCUGCUUCCUGAGUGCUAAGAGUAAAAGCUUGAGCCACCACCCAGCGAGAUACAUGGUUUUUAAAACUUAUUUCUCCCAUUACUGCCUGGCUUCUCUCCUUUUCCUGUGUCCCUUUCUCUAAUAAUUCAUUAUGUCUUUGUGGUUAUCUGUACAGGAAGAAUCACUUGUGUGCACACGACAAAAGCCCUUUGAAUGAACACGUAAGCGUCUCAAUCCAAGAUUGUGGGUGUAUCAAAAUGGAUCUGCCUUCCAUUUUGUAUUAUACUUGACAUUUUCUCCUUAAUGGUUUUGAUAGAUUCUGCUUUGGUCUCCCUGGCAACGAUCUUUAUGUCUUUGUUUCAGCCUCUUAGCACUGAACAGCAAAGAGGAAAGUAGGCUAUUACCUGUUCCUGGUUGCUAAGCACAGUGUUCCUGCCUGGGCUGAGUCACUCAGGAGAGAUUAGAAGUGGAGCGGUUACUAAGACAACGGAAUCGCACAUCCAUUUCCUCUGUGAGGCCCCUUUUCUUCAUACAUUUAUAUCAAACAUUAAGCUGGCGAGAUGGCUCGGCAGGUAAGAGCACUGACUGCUCUUCCGAAGGUCCUGAGUUCAAAUCCCAACAACCACGUGAUAGCUCACAACCACUCAUAAGGAGAUCUGAUGUCUUCUUCUGAUAUGUCUGAAGUCAGCUACAGUGUACUUACGUAAGUAAAUCUUUGGGCCGGAGCAAGCAGGCACUGAGCAAGUGGAGUUGACUGGAGUGAAUAGAGGUCCUAAAAAUUGAAUUCCCAACAACCACAUAAGGCUUGCAACCAUCUGUAAA
rnacentral:lncRNA from 1 species